GAUGAACGCUGGCGGCGUGCCUAAUACAUGCAAGUAGAACGCUGAAGGAGGAGCUUGCUCUUCUGGAUGAGUUGCGAACGGGUGAGUAACGCGUAGGUAACCUGCCUGGUAGCGGGGGAUAACUAUUGGAAACGAUAGCUAAUACCGCAUGACAACAGUUAUUGCAUGAUAACUGUUUAAAAGGGGCAACUGCUCCACUACCAGAUGGACCUGCGUUGUAUUAGCUAGUUGGUGAGGUAACGGCUCACCAAGGCGACGAUACAUAGCCGACCUGAGAGGGGGAGCGGCCACACUGGGACUGAGACACGGCCCAGACUCCUACGGGAGGCAGCAGUAGGGAAUCUUCGGCAAUGGACGGAAGUCUGACCGAGCAACGCCGCGUGAGGGAAGAAGGUUUUCGGAUCGUAAAGCUCUGUUGUAAGAGAAGAACGAGUGUGAGAGUGGAAAGUUCACACUGUGACGGUAUCUUACCAGAAAGGGACGGCUAACUACGUG
rnacentral:rRNA from 1 species